AUGAAUGGGCCAAAACGGACAUGGCAGCAGGUCAAAAUCAAAUACAAGAACAUUCUGCAGAAUGCAGUGAAAAAGAAUACCCACAGACAAGGCACGGGUGGUGGGUCACCAAAGGCUGACCUUACCCCAGCAGAGGACAUGGCCUUGGAGCUAAAUAAAGGCAGGCCCGUCUUAGAGGGGAUCCCUGGGGGGAAAGAGACGAGCAUAGGUUCCUCCCAAGAUGCCACCCGCUUCAUUCAAGUGUCUGGCAGCACUGUGUUCCUGUUAGAGCCACCAGCACAAGCACCAGACGAUGCUGAUCCAGGUGAAAGCCCCAGUGCAGCAGCAACAGCACAUGAUGGAGACGAUGAUGAGGAGGAGACCAUCUCUGUGGAUUCCAGAAGGCAUGAGGACCCAGAUGCUAUACAGUGGGAAAACCAGCCUGGCAACAUAGUGCGUAUUAAUAAAAGGACACCACAUCCUGCCAAAUUCCAGCUGCGCUAA
ensembl:lncRNA